UCAGGGCAAAGCCAAGAAGUGAUUUUCCCCCCUCCCUGCCACGGGAACUGUGACCUAAUUCUCAUUCCUAAUCACAGAAUCAAAGGGAGAAAUUUAUUUCAAUGAGCUAGUCUGAAAGAGCUAUUUGCCAAAUGGCUUUCUUUCCAAUACUUAAUGAAAAGAUGCAUUUUGUACUACUUUCAAAAAGGUGAUAUGGACAGGAGACGGAAAUACUGGGUAGAAAAGGGCAGUUCCCUGGCAAAGCCUCACCCUCAAGCCUGGAUACCUGCUGUCUUAAACGAAAACGAAAACAGGCAUUUCUGUGUUCAUGCUCCAAAAGUUAUCUUUUGGCCUGCCACACCCCCUAUCCUGCACCCAUAUGAAUCCCGAACCCCAGACUCCAGAAGCAGACCAGCAAGCCCGCAGACCAGCAGAAGGAUGGCAGAACGAUGUGGCAGAGAAAGGGAGAAGAGGAGGAACAUCUGAAUGCCAAAAUGAGUUCAGCUGGGGGCAGUCAGAGAGGAGUCCAGCCACUGGGCAGCCAGAAUCCAGGGGAGGAUCACCUUUCCACUUCAUCCCCUUCCUCUGCCUCCCCAUCCAUCCUGCUGAAAGCCACCUCCACCACUCAAUAAAACCUGCCAUUCAUCCUUGGA
rnacentral:lncRNA from 1 species